rnacentral:rRNA from 1 species
UACGGAGGGAGCUAGCGUUGUUCGGAAUUACUGGGCGUAAAGCGCACGUAGGCGGCUUUUCAAGUCAGGGGUGAAAGCCCGGGGCUCAACCCCGGAAUUGCCCUUGAAACUGGAAGGCUAGAAUCACGGAGAGGUGGGUGGAAUUCCGAGUGUAGAGGUGAAAUUCGUAGAUAUUCGGAAGAACACCAGUGGCGAAGGCGGCCCACUGGACGUGUAUUGACGCUGAGGUGCGAAAGCGUGGGGAGCAAACAGG